AUAAUAGAUAAUGUAAGAAAAUGCAAAAUAUAGUUUUUAAUGAUUAAAUAUCACCCCAAACCCUCCCCUACUACAUACAGGACAGCAGUAUUAUACUCACCUGAAGAGGUGAAGGGCACUUUCUUCUCCACACUGUCAUCCUGUAACCACCGUUUCUUCACUGUGGCCUUCACUGAGACACCGGCAAACAGUCAUGAGACAGCUGCACUCCUAACUUUGCCCACCAUCCUUGAAAAGGCAGAAGACCAGCGCAUAGAGCAGGCGAAGAAGAAAGCCAUGUGAAAGGUGUGGAAUUGCCCACCAAAAUGAGUUUGGAGACAGUUCAAAGGCGUGCACAUCUGUUCCAGCAUUCAGUUGGUAAGCACCUUGGAUGUGAAGCCAGGCGACUUUGAAUAGACACAGCUAU
rnacentral:lncRNA from 1 species